rnacentral:tRNA from 1 species
ACCUGGGUGGCUCAGUCGGUUGAGCGUCUGACUUCAGUUCAGGUCAUGAUCUCCCAGUUUGCGAGUUCGAGCCCCGUGUCGGGCU